rnacentral:rRNA from 1 species
UGGGGAAUAUUGGACAAUGGGCGAAAGCCUGAUCCAGCCAUGCCGCGUGUGUGAAGAAGGUCUUCGGAUUGUAAAGCACUUUAAGUUGGGAGGAAGGGCAUUAACCUAAUACGUUAGUGUUUUGACGUUACCGACAGAAUAAGCACCGGCUAACUCUGUGCCAGCAGCCGCGGUAAUACAGAGGGUGCAAGCGUUAAUCGGAAUGACUGGGCGUAAAGCGCGCGUAGGUGGUUUGUUAAGUUGGAUGUGAAAUCCCCGGGCUCAACCUGGGAACUGCAUUCAAAACUGACUGACUAGAGUAUGGUAGAGGGUGGUGGAAUUUCCUGUGUUGCGGUGAAAUGCGUAGAUAUAGGUAGGAACACCAGUGGCGAAGGCGACCACCUGGACUAAUACUGACGCUGAGGUGCGAAAGCGUGGGGAGCAAACA